rnacentral:rRNA from 1 species
GACGAACGCUGGCGGCGUGCUUAACACAUGCAAGUCGAACGGAAAGGCCCUGCUUUUGUGGGGUGCUCGAGUGGCGAACGGGCGAGUAACACGUGAGUAACCUGCCCUUGACUUUGGGAUAACUUCAGGAAACUGGGGCUAAUACCGGAUAGGAGCUCCUGCUGCAUGGUGGGGGUUGGAAAGUUUCGGCGGUUGGGGAUGGACUCGCGGCUUAUCAGCUUGUUGGUGGGGUAGUGGCUUACCAAGGCUUUGACGGGUAGCCGGCCUGAGGGGGUGACCGGCCACAUUGGGACUGAGAUACGGCCCAGACUCCUACGGGAGGCAGCAGUGGGGAAUAUUGCACAAUGGGCGGAAGCCUGAUGCAGCAACGCCGCGUGCGGGAUGACGGCCUUCGGGUUGUAAACCGCUUUCGCCUGUGACGAAGCGUGAGUGACGGUAAUGGGUAAAGAAGCACCGGCUAACUACGUG